rnacentral:lncRNA from 1 species
AUCUUGGAGCUGCAGCGGAUUUGAGAGUAGGGAUCAAUUAUAUUCCAAAAGAGUUUCUUUUAGAUCCAAGGUUAUCUCCCUCCUACUCUGUGGAAUGAGUAGUUUGUGUAUGCGGAAGUGGAAAUUUCUUGUUCAAACAGCAGGAUCUCCCUCCUACUCUGUGGAAUAAGUAGUUUGUGUAUGCGGAAGUGGAAAUUUCUUGUUCAAACAGCAGGAACAUUCUAUUUUACUUGCACUAAUAAUGCCAGAUAUGUUUUUUAAAAAUUCUGUGACCUACUUUACAUUUUGUUUCUUGAAAUUAAUUAUACCCUUGAUAGACUAGCUUAUAGAAUUCAGCUCAUAUUAACGUCUUCUUAUCAUUCUUUUCGAAUAUUCAUUUCAAAAACAUCUCCAAUUUUUCCAGAGCCAACAUGCUUGUCGAUCCAUUUCCAAUUUUUGACUACAACAAUAAGACAUUUUGUUCCACCUACAUAUUUUCUGAAUUGAAUGUUCUUAAUCACACUUUUUGAUAUUUAUAACCAGAUCUCCUUGGACCUCGUACAUGAACCAUAGGCGCUAACCCUUAUAAGUUCUUAGAAGACUAUCAGGAAAAUCAACCUUAUAUUUGAGGUCCUUUCCAGACUGUUCAAGCUACUAAUUGAACGUUACAUGCCGUAAAUAAAAAAAUGUGGAACCAAACAGAGUAAUCUGCCUGAAAUUGAGGAUUGAAAUUUCAGAUUUUCCCUAUUUAUGGGUAUGUUAUGUACUUAAUAAUGAUAUGAGUACUUGUCUCGAACAUUCGGAGGUACAUUACCGGCAAUGAUGUUAUCCUAGAUGGCUUUGACAUUUGAUUAUGACAUGUUUCUGCUUGUUAUUUUUAAUGGUAUUAGGUAUAUUAUCUUAAUUUACUCGUGGAAGAGAUGGACAGAAUAUAAAUGAUUUUGUUCGUUAUUCAAUGUAUAACGAAGUGAAUCAAUCUCAUAUUUCACUGGACGUUUAAAGGAUCAAUUUAAGUUCCACUAUGUUAACCCAACUGUAUAUUGACUAUCCAGUUUGGUAUGCUCUUCGCUCUUACCUUUGUACCAUUAAAAGGUGAACAAAAAAUAGAUUUCAUUACAGCAUUCUAUGUUAUUGAUUAUCUGUCUUUCAGCAGACUUUCGGAUAAUAGCAUUUAUAACUUGGCAUAUCUAUAUUAGGACAAGAGGGGUUGCUCUGAUGGUAAGCAACCCCCACUUCCAAUCGAGAGGUUGUGAG